GAGGAAGAGCUCAAGUUGGAACCUGUUUGGCUUAGCUAAACCGGAUUGUAAACUGUAGAAGUGUUUUCCUGACACGCCUGGUAAAAAAGUCCUUUGGAACAGGGCAUCAUAGAGGGUGAGAAUCCCGUCUUUGGCCAGAGCUGUUGUCUUUUGUGAUACAUUUUCAAAGAGUCAGGUUGUUUGGGAAUGCAGCCUAAAUUGGGUGGUAAAUCUCACCUAAAGCUAAAUAUUUGCGAGAGACCGAUAGCGAACAAGUACCGUGAGGGAAAGAUGAAAAGAACUUUGAAAAGAGAGUUAAACAGUAUGUGAAAUUGUUAAAAGGGAACCGUUUGGAGCCAGACUGGCUUGACUGUAAUCAAUCUAGGCUUCGGCCUGGAUGCACUUGCGGUCUAUGCCUGCCAACGACAGUUUUAUUUGGGGGAAAAAAUUAUUGGGAAUGUGGCCUCUCGAGGUGUUAUAGCCCUUUAAAAAAUACCCUGGAUUGGACUGAGGAACGCAGUGAAUGCCUUUAGGCAAGAUUGCUGGGUGCUUUCGCUAAUAAAUGCUAGAAUUUCUGCUUCGGGUGGUGCUAGUGUUUAAAGGUGGAACUCGCUUAGUAUAUUUUUUAUUCGCUUAGGUUGUUGGCUUAAUGACUCUAAAUGACCCGUCUUGAAACACGGACCAAGGAGUCCACCAUAAGUGCAAGUAUUUGGGUGCCAAACCCAUAUGCGCAAGGAAACUGAUUGAUACGAAAUCUUACGAUGGCAGUAUCACCCGGCGUUGACGUUUUAUACUGAACUGAC
rnacentral:rRNA from 1 species